rnacentral:lncRNA from 1 species
GUAGGACUCACUGACUUUUCCAGUGGGACUUGGGAGGACCUUUCACUGGGGAGGAACUGACUACAGUACCACACCAAGGGGGUGUAGACGCCCCACGCUUUGCUGAGUCUGUCAAGCAGACUCAUGGGGAGGGAGACCUCCCUCCCCAUGGUUUCCUGAGUGCCGGGGUCAUCUCUUCCAAGCGCAUCCCUGGGACACACCCCGCCAGGUGGCCAAGGCAAGCUCUCAUUCAGCCUUUCUUCCGAUGCAGCACUGACUGUGUUUCAAACUUCAGCUGAAGUUCAGGGCCGAGCAGUGAGGCCUCACCUGCCAGCAGGGUGGGUGGGGGUGAGUCUGCGAGUCCCGACUUCCCUUCCUCACUCUGGGGUCGCCUGGAAUGCCUCAGCUUGCCGGGUCACCGCGCAGCCUCCUCUGACGCUUCUGAGUGGGACGAGAGGCCAGAGCAAAGGGUCCUCUUCCUUUUCUGCUGCCCCAGCAACUGGUCACUGACCAGCAAGACAGCUGCACCCCGGGCGGGCCUGGCUGGCUGGGGAGACGAGAGAGGCAUUGACAUCCCUGAAACUUGCCUGCAGCUCCCAUUACUGAAGAUCACAGUGCAUAUUCAGCCAUGGUCACUUGAGAGAAGAAAAGAAAAACAAAACAAGACAAAAUGAAUAACCUAAAACAAUUAAAAGGUAAAAGAAAAACACCAGAGUCAAUUAUCUACUUUUCUUUCCCUCAGGUUGUCAAAUAAAGGUCAUUCCCCUACCACGUUUUGAAAAACCAAGACAAAGAGUUCUCUGAGUUAUGAGCACUUGUGGCAAAUUACUUAAUACAGGAAGUGCCACACUGAGCGAGUCACCAUGCUCCCCCAACUGCACGGGUGGCAGACAUUCCCUGGCCGAGGGGCAGUGUCCCGGCAGCUGGCGCUCUCCCUGCGGGCAGAGACGCACCCUCAGACAACGGCCUGAUAUCUGGGGAACGUCCACCCUGGAGUCACCUGCCAGGUGCCAGGGGAACAGAAACUCGCCGCCAUCCAGCUCUCAGGUAAAGAGGAGGCUUGUGUGGUCCCCGCGGAGAGGGAGACUCAAACAGAGAGACAAGAGACAGGAGGCAGGAGGGAGCUGAACAUCCACCAGGCAGUCAGGGAGAGCCCAUCAACACGUGCUUGUAGUACGCCAGUGUCAGUGAUUUCAGCAAACUCCACCACAUCCACUAAAGCUUGACUUUAGAAGCGUGCUAUACGCUACUACAUACUGGAUGAUAAACAGCAAGACCCUACUGUAUAGAACAGUGAACUAUAUUCAAUAUCCUGUGGUAAAGCAUAAUGGAGAAUGUGAAAACAAAUGCAUAUAAACAUGUAAGUCACUCUGCUGUACACCAGAAACUAACAACAUUGUAAACAUCAACUACACUUAAAUUAAAAAAAAAAAAAAAGCAUGUGUUGCUUUCUUACUGGUUUGUUUUAAAUAGUUAUUGCUGCUGCUGCUGCUAAGUCGCUUCAGUCGUGUCCAACUCUGUGCAACCCCAUAGACGGCAGCCCACCAGGCUCCCCCGUCCCUGGGAUUCUCCAGGCAAGAACACUGGAGUGGGUUGCCAUUUCCUUCUCCAACGCAUGAAAGUGAAAAGUGAAAGUUGCUCAGUCGUGUCCGACUCUUCGCAACCCCAUGGACUGCAGCCUACCAGGCUCCUCCCUCCAUGGGAUUUUCCAGGCAAGAGUACUGGAGUGGGGUGCCAUUGCCUGCUCCGAAAUAGUUAUUAGGCUUUGCAAAAAAAUAAAAAGAACCCACACAAGUUUACUAAUAUUCA